rnacentral:rRNA from 1 species
UACGGAGGGAGCUAGCGUUGUUCGGAAUUACUGGGCGUAAAGCGCACGUAGGCGGCUUUGUAAGUUAGAGGUGAAAGCCCGGGGCUCAACCCCGGAAUUGCCUUUAAGACUGCAUCGCUUGAAUCCGGGAGAGGUGAGUGGAAUUCCGAGUGUAGAGGUGAAAUUCGUAGAUAUUCGGAAGAACACCAGUGGCGAAGGCGGCUCCAAGCUGGACCGGUAUUGACGGCUGAGGUGCGAAAGCGUGGGGAGCAAACAGGAU